rnacentral:rRNA from 1 species
GACGAACGCUGGCGGCGUGCUUAACACAUGCAAGUCGAGCGGUAAGGCCCUUUCGGGGGUACGACGAGCGGCGAACGGGUGAGUAACACGUGGGUGACCUGCCCUCAGCUCUGGGAUAAGCCUGGGAAACCGGGUCUAAUACUGGAUAUGACUCCAUGACGCAUGUUGUGGGGUGGAAAGCCUUGUGCGGCUGAGGAUGGGCCCGCGGCCUAUCAGCUUGUUGGUGGGGUGAGGCCUACCAAGGCGACGACGGGUAGCCGGCCUGAGAGGGCGACCGGCACACUGGGACUGAGACACGGCCCAGACUCCUACGGGAGGCAGCAGGUGGGGAAUCUUGCGCAAUGGGCGAAAGCCUGACGCAGCGACGCCGCGUGAGGGAUG